GGCUCCGUAGCUCAGUGGUUAGAGCGCUGGUCUAGUAAACCAGAGGUCGCGAGUUCGAUUCUUGCUGGGGCCU
rnacentral:tRNA from 1 species